AAACAGAGGGAGACAUGGAGACUGCGAUUUGUGGGAGAAUAGCUCUCUCACCUAAUCAAGUCCUUAGCCCUAAAUCAGGAGACAAGCAUUCUCUUUCAAGAGGACCAUGGAUCAGCCGAGGGAUUCUCAUGGCUUUAUCAGCUACAGGAUCAGGUAAAGGAGGUGGGUUAUUGGAGAGGCCAAUCAUAGAGAAAACCACUCCUGGCCGUGAAUCGGAGUUUGAUUUAAGGAGAUCAAGGAAAACAGCUCCACCUUAUCGGGUGAUACUGCACAAUGACAACUACAAUAAAAGGGAAUAUGUUGUUCAAGUAUUGAUGAAGGUUAUCCCUGGAAUGACUCUU
rnacentral:misc_RNA from 1 species